AUUGAACGCUGGCGGCAUGCCUUACACAUGCAAGUCGAACGGCAGCACGGGUGCUUGCACCUGGUGGCGAGUGGCGAAAGGGUGAGUAAUACAUCGGAACAUGUCCUGUAGUGGGGGAUAGCCCGGCGAAAGCCGGAUUAAUACCGCAUACGAUCUACGGAUGACAGCGGGGGACCUUCGGGCCUCGCGCUAUAGGGUUGGCCGAUGGCUGAUUAGCUAGUUGGUGGGGUAAAGGCCUACCAAGGCGACGAUCAGUAGCUGGUCUGAGAGGACGACCAGCCACACUGGGACUGAGACACGGCCCAGACUCCUACGGGAGGCAGCAGUGGGGAAUUUUGGACAAUGGGCGAAAGCCUGAUCCAGCAAUGCCGCGUGUGUGAAGAAGGCCUUCGGGUUGUAAAGCACUUUUGUCCGGAAAGAAAUCCUUGGCCCUAAUACGGUCGGGGGAUGACGGUACCGGAAGAAUAAGCACCGGCUAACUACGUG
rnacentral:rRNA from 1 species